AUCACUUGGGGAUCGUGUUAAAAUUCAGAUCCUGAUUUGGCAGGUCUCAGGUGAAACCUCAGAUUUUGAAUUUCUAACAUGCUCCCAGGUGAUGCUGG
rfam:Macaca mulatta chromosome 14, whole genome shotgun sequence.